UCUAAAAUGGCAGAUUAGUGCAAUAGAUUUAAGCUCUAUAAAUAAAGUUACACUUUUUUUAGAA
rnacentral:tRNA from 1 species